rnacentral:rRNA from 1 species
GGCCAGACUCCUACGGGAGGCAGCAGUGGGGGAUAUUGCACAAUGGGGGGAACCCUGAUGCAGCGACGCCGCGUGGGUGAAGAAGCGCCUCGGCGCGUAAAGCCCUGUCAGCAGGGAAGAAAAUGACGGUACCUGACCAAGAAGCCCCGGCUAACUACGUGCCAGCAGCUGCGGUAAUACGUAGGGGGCAAGCGUUAUCCGGAUUUACUGGGUGUAAAGGGAGCGUAGACGGCAGGGCAAGUCUGGAGUGAAAGGCAGGGGCCCAACCCCUGGACUGCUCUGGAAACUGUCCGGCUGGAGUGCAGGAGAGGUAAGUGGAAUUCCUAGUGUAGCGGUGAAAUGCGUAGAUAUUAGGAGGAACACCAGUGGCGAAGGCGGCUUACUGGACUGUAACUGACGUUGAGGCUCGAAAGCGUGGGGAGCAAACAGGAUUAGAUACCCUGGUACC